rnacentral:rRNA from 1 species
AAUCAACGCUGGCGGCGCGCUUAACACAUGCAAGUCGCACGAGAAAGGGAGCAAUCCUGAGUAAAGUGGCGUACGGGUGAGGAACACGUGGGAAUCUACCUCUUGGCGGGGAAUAACCCUGGGAAACCGGGGCUAAUACCGCAUAAGCUCGUGAGAGGAAAGCAGCAAUGCACCGAGAGAGGAGCCCGCGGCCGAUUAGCUAGUUGGUGGGGUAAUGGCUCACCAAGGCGAAGAUCGGUAGCCGGCCUGAGAGGGCACACGGCCACACUGGCACUGAAACACGGGCCAGACUCCUACGGGAGGCAGCAGUGGGGAAUCUUGCACAAUGGGGGAAACCCUGAUGCAGCGACGCCGCGUGAGCGAUGAAGCCCUUCGGGGUGUAAAGCUCUUUCGACAGGAACGAUAAUGACGGUACCUGGAGAAGAAGCUGCGGCUAACUACGUG